AGAUCCGGCUCCUCCUCCCACCACCUGGCGCGUGGGGACGGGUCCGCAGCCCCUUGUCCGCCCUACAAGCCCCAUGGGCUGCCGCCAGCCGCCGCCUAGGCUGCCACCCAGAACACGGCAGGGAUAAGCGCAGAACCCACCGGCCACCAUGUCCGGAGACUACGAGGAUGACCUCUGCCGGCGGGCACUCAUCUUGGUCUCCGACCUCUGCGCGCGGGUCCGAGAUGCCGACACCAGUGACAGGUGCCAGGAGUUCAACGACCUGCGAAUCCGAGGCUACCCCCGGGGCCCGGAUGCAGACAUCUCCGUGAGCCUGCUGUCGGUCAUCGUGACGUUCUGUGGCAUUGUCCUUCUGGGCGUCUCCCUCUUCGUGUCCUGGAAAUUGUGCUGGGUGCCCUGGCGGGACAAGGGAGGCUCGGCGGUGGGCGGGGGCCCGCUGCGCAAAGACCUAGGCCCUGGGGUCGGGCUGGCAGGCCUGGUGGGUGGUGGUGGGCACCACCUGGGGGCCGGCCUGGGUGGCCAUCCUCUGCUGGGGGGUCCGCACCACCACGCCCACACCGCCCACCACCCGCCCUUCGCUGAGCUGCUGGAGCCAGGCAGCCUAGGGGGCUCGGACCCCCCUGAGCCCUCGUACUUGGACAUGGACUCGUAUCCAGAGGCUGCGGCAGCUGCAGUGGCUGCUGGGGUCAAACCGAGCCAGACAUCUCCUGAACUGCCCUCUGAGGGAGGUGCGGGCUCUGGGCUACUCCUGCUGCCCCCCAGUGGUGGGGGCUUGCCCAGUGCCCAGUCGCAUCAGCAGGUCACAAGCCUGGCACCCACCACCAGGUACCCGGCCCUGCCGCGGCCCCUCACCCAGCAGACCCUGACCCCCCAGCCGGACCCUGGCAGCGAGGAGCGGCCGCCUGCCCUGCCCUUACCCUUGCCGGGCGGUGAGGAAAAAGCCAAACUCAUCGGGCAGAUCAAGCCCGAGCUGUACCAGGGGACUGGGCCCGGUGGCCGGCGCGGCGGCGGGGCCCCGGGCUCGGGAGAGGCCGGCGCGGGGGCGCCCUGCGGCCGCAUCAGCUUCGCCCUGCGGUACCUCUAUGGCUCCGACCAGCUGGUGGUGCGGAUCCUGCAGGCCUUGGACCUCCCGGCCAAGGACUCCAACGGCUUCUCAGACCCCUACGUCAAGAUCUACCUGCUGCCGGACCGCAAGAAAAAGUUCCAGACCAAGGUGCACAGGAAAACUCUGAACCCUGUGUUCAACGAGACAUUCCAGUUCUCGGUGCCCCUGGCCGAGCUGGCCCAGCGCAAACUGCACUUCAGCGUCUAUGACUUCGACCGCUUCUCGCGGCACGACCUCAUCGGCCAAGUGGUGCUGGACAACCUCCUGGAGCUGGCUGAGCAGCCCCCCGACCGCCCACUGUGGAGGGACAUCGUGGAGGGAGGCUCGGAAAAGGCAGAUCUCGGGGAGCUCAACUUCUCACUCUGCUACCUCCCCACCGCCGGGCGCCUCACCGUGACCAUCAUCAAAGCCUCUAACCUCAAAGCGAUGGACCUCACCGGCUUCUCAGACCCCUACGUGAAGGCCUCUCUGAUCAGCGAGGGGCGGCGUCUGAAGAAGCGGAAAACCUCCAUCAAGAAGAACACGCUGAACCCCACGUACAACGAGGCGCUCGUGUUCGAUGUGGCGCCCGAGAGCGUGGAGAGCGUGGGGCUCAGCAUCGCGGUGGUAGACUACGAUUGCAUCGGGCACAACGAGGUGAUCGGCGUGUGCCGGGUGGGCCCGGACGCCGCCGACCCCCACGGCCGCGAGCACUGGGCGGAGAUGCUGGCCAACCCCCGCAAGCCGGUGGAACACUGGCAUCAGCUGGUGGAGGAAAAGACUUUGUCCAGCUUCACAAAAGGCAGCAAAGGAUUAUCAGAGAAAGAGAACUCAGAGUGAGGGGUCUGGCCUAGGCUCAGGAUCGGACCAGGCUCCGUAGGACCUCAUCCCUUCCUGCCCGGACAGUGAAUUCAUCUCGAAGCCAUAACGUCCGAGCCGCGUGGUGCGGGGCAGGCUGGGCCUGCCCUUCCUUCGACCCCGCUAGGACCCUUAUGAUUAUAAGACACAAAAUGCAACCCAAACCACCGUAAACCACAAGCAGAACUGAAAGACCUUUGUACAUGGUGAGUGUGAGCCAAAGGAGGACUUCAGGCAUGGUCGGAUCAAGGUGUUCAAGCGACUCUGCAUUGCUCCUUAUGACUUCAUUCUCAGGCAAGUCUCUGGGGCUCCAAGCUUAAAAUGCUGUGUCUGUUACGAUGGCGUCAGCUGCCUAAAACAGAAUUCCAACAGAAAGGGCUGAAAUGAGAAGAGAUUCCUUUUGCUCACAUAACAAAUCUUUCAAAGACACGCAGUCCCGCUGUUAGUUCAGCUGCUCAACAGCGUCGGGCACAGGGUUGGCGUCGCCGAGAUUCAUUCUGCCUUCCCUUCAUGAGUACAAAGUGCAACAGUACCAAGCAUUAUGUUCUCACACGGUGGCAUCUAAAGCAGAAAAUGUGGGGGCGCCUGGGUGGCUCAGUCUGUUAAGCAUCUG